rnacentral:rRNA from 1 species
UACGUAGGGGCCUAGCGUUGUCCGGAUUUAUUGGGCGUAAAGAGCUCGUAGGCGGUUUGGUGAGUCGGGUGUGAAAUCUCCACGCUCAACGUGGAGGAGCCACCCGAUACUGCCAUGACUGGAGUCCGGUAGGGGAGUGUGGAAUUCCCGGUGUAGCGGUGAAAUGCGCAGAUAUCAGGAGGAACACCGGUGGCGAAGGCGGGACUCUGGGCCGAUACUGACGCUGAGGAGCGAAAGCGUGGGGAGCAAACAGG